rnacentral:rRNA from 1 species
UAAUACAUGCAAGUAGAACGCUGAAGAGAGGAGCUUGCUCUUCUUGGAUGAGUUGCGAACGGGUGAGUAACGCGUAGGUAACCUGCCUUGUAGCGGGGGAUAACUAUUGGAAACGAUAGCUAAUACCGCAUAACAAUGGAUGACACAUGUCAUUUAUUUGAAAGGGGCAAUUGCUCCACUACAAGAUGGACCUGCGUUGUAUUAGCUAGUAGGUGAGGUAACGGCUCACCUAGGCGACGAUACAUAGCCGACCUGAGAGGGUGAUCGGCCACACUGGGACUGAGACACGGCCCAGACUCCUACGGGAGGCAGCAGUAGGGAAUCUUCGGCAAUGGGGGCAACCCUGACCGAGCAACGCCGCGUGAGUGAAGAAGGUUUUCGGAUCGUAAAGCUCUGUUGUAAGUCAAGAACGAGUGUGAGAGUGGAAAGUUCACACUGUGACGGUAGCUUACCAGAAAGGGACGGCUAACUACGUGCCAGCAGCCGCGGUAAUACGUAGGUCCCGAGCGUUGUCCGGAUUUAUUGGGCGUAAAGCGAGCGCAGGCGGUUUGAUAAGUCUGAAGUUAAAGGCUGUGGCUCAACCAUAGUUCGCUUUGGAAACUGUCAAACUUGAGUGCAGAAGGGGAGAGUGGAAUUCCAUGUGUAGCGGUGAAAUGCGUAGAUAUAUGGAGGAACACCGGUGGCGAAAGCGGCUCUCUGGUCUGUAACUGACGCUGAGGCUCGAAAGCGUGGGGAGCGAACAGGAUUAGAUACCCUGGUAGUCCACGCCGUAAACGAUGAGUGCUAGGUGUUGGAUCCUUUCCGGGAUUCAGUGCCGCAGCUAACGCAUUAAGCACUCCGCCUGGGGAGUACGACCGCAAGGUUGAAACUCAAAGGAAUUGACGGGGGCCCGCACAAGCGGUGGAGCAUGUGGUUUAAUUCGAAGCAACGCGAAGAACCUUACCAGGUCUUGACAUCCCGAUGCUAUUUCUAGAGAUAGAAAGUUACUUCGGUACAUCGGUGACAGGUGGUGCAUGGUUGUCGUCAGCUCGUGUCGUGAGAUGUUGGGUUAAGUCCCGCAACGAGCGCAACCCCUAUUGUUAGUUGCCAUCAUUCAGUUGGGCACUCUAGCGAGACUGCCGGUAAUAAACCGGAGGAAGGUGGGGAUGACGUCAAAUCAUCAUGCCCCUUAUGACCUGGGCUACACACGUGCUACAAUGGUUGGUACAACGAGUUGCGAGUCGGUGACGGCAAGCUAAUCUCUUAAAGCCAAUCUCAGUUCGGAUUGUAGGCUGCAACUCGCCUACAUGAAGUCGGAAUCGCUAGUAAUCGCGGAUCAGCACGCCGCGGUGAAUACGUUCCCGGGCCUUGUACACACCGCCCGUCACACCACGAGAGUUUGUAACACCCGAAGUCGGUGAGGUAACCUUUUGGAGCCAGCC